CGGCGGACGGGUGAGUAACGCGUGGGUAACCUGCCUCAUACAGGGGGAUAACAGUUAGAAAUGACUGCUAAUACCGCAUAAGACCACGGUACCGCAUGGUACAGUGGUAAAAACUCCGGUGGUAUGAGAUGGACCCGCGUCUGAUUAGCUAGUUGGAGGGGUAACGGCCCACCAAGGCGAUGAUCAGUAGCCGGUCUGAGAGGAUGAACGGCCACAUUGGGACUGAGACACGGCCCAG
rnacentral:rRNA from 1 species